CGCAACGAGGAGGGAGGGAAGAAAUUGCAANGCUGUUAGUGAGGAGGAGGAGGAGAAUUUCUUAACCAACGCUUUUCUGUUUUGCGUUGUUCAGGGUUUGCAAAUCCUGACUUCUGCACCGUAGCUUUGAAAAAAGCCAACACAACCACAGCAGGCUUGGAGAUCAGGGGUAAAAGAAGAGGAAGGAGGCGGCAAUCAAAGUGCUCUCGGCUGCUGGAAACGAUAUGCAAAUAUAGGGGGGAUGCGUGUCCCAGUUCAAAACGGAGAAGGCAAGGAGGAGAUGACUGGUUUCCAGUUAAUCCCAUGUCUUUGCUGACAGUCUCAGCAAGCCCAAGAGGCAGAAGUAAGUUCAAACUGAGUCCAGAGAUGAUUAAAAAUCCAGAGAUUUCUUCGUGGGAAGGAACUUGGGGGAUUGCCCUGCAGUUCUCGGGAAACAAGGAGUGCAAGUCAGCCUUGAGACCAAGACAAAGAGACUGAAACAUACUGGGAGCGGAGGGCACUCCAGUUGGGGCUCUUGGUGCUGUGCCCAGGAUCCCCGAGGGAGAGCAGGUGGCCCAGCCUGAGCUGGGUGCCUCCUGCUGCCAGGCAAGGGAGAGUCAUCCACAAACCGGCCCCUCCAGCCCAGAAGCAGCCACUAACCCCGGUCUGAAUCUCUAUUCUGGCUUGGCUGCCAAACACCUAUCUUAUGUAUAAGCUUUGCUUCCCCCCUAAGGGCAAUGGGCCCGGAACUACGGAGGGCGAAGAGCAGGUUUAUGGAGGUGAGAAAAGGACAGGGGAAGCGAUGGCUACUUAAGUGGGAUUUCUUUUGUCGCUGUUAAAAGGGAUAUAGUUAAAAUCCUGACCCCGAGCAUCCCUCCUCUCUGAUUUCCACCCCGCAGGGGUGGGCAAUAUUAAAGUGCAGCCGGAUAGGAGGGGGCCUUCUCCAUAGAGCUGUGGGGUUCCUGAAAGAGAAGACAGAGGUUGGCAACAAGAAGAGGGGAAGGAAGCNGGUUUUUUUCUUUUCCUUUCUUGAAUAUGUGUCAAGCCUGUGUGCAAGAUGAGGGUUCCUAUUGCCCCUCCCCCCCAUGGUCCCCCCCCCACCUGCCCAUCNGGG
rnacentral:lncRNA from 1 species